rnacentral:rRNA from 1 species
AUUGAACGCUGGCGGCAGGCCUAACACAUGCAAGUCGAACGAGUGGCGGACGGGUGAGUAAUGUCUGGGAAACUGCCUGAUGGAGGGGGAUAACUACUGGAAACGGUAGCUAAUACCGCAUACCAUCAGAUGUGCCCAGAUGGGAUUAGCUAGUAGGUGGGUUAAUGGCUCACCUAGGCGACGAUCCCUAGCUGGUCUGAGAGGAUGACCAGCGACAAUGGAACUGAGACACGGUCGAGACGCCGACGAGAGGCAGCAGUGGGGAAUAUUGCACAAUGGGCGCAAGCCUGAUGCAGCCAUGCCGCGUGUGUGAAGAAGGCGUUCGGGUUGUAAAGCACUUUCAGCGGGGAGGCGUUACCCGCAGAAGAAGCACCGGCUAACUCCGUGGCAGCAGGCGCGGUAGUUA